rnacentral:misc_RNA from 1 species
AACGCAUAUUGCACUCUCUGGUAUUCCGGAGAGUAUGCCUGUUUGAGGGUCAGUAAAUAAUAAUUAUCAUAAUCUUUUGAUUGUGGAAUUGGGCCUUUAUUUCAUUUUUAAUGAUUUAUGGCCUUAAAUUUAUGUUACCGCUUGUUUAAUAUGAAAUUCGACCGAAUGGAGCAAUUAAACAUUCUCUCGUUAGGCGGAUUCAUCAAGCAUUUACGAAUUUUUUGGCCGUCGAAGCACUUUUUUUAAAAGUGCUUGGUCAAGAUUGUAAGAUACAUUUAACAAUGACCUCAAAUCAGGCAAGAAUACCCGCUGAACUUAA